GCUGGGCGCGAUGGUGCGUGCCUGUAGUCCCAGCUACUCGGGAGGCCGAGGUGGGAGGAUCGCUUGAGCCCAGGAGUUCUGGGCUGUAGUGUGCUAUGCUGAUGUGGUGUCUGCACUAAGUUCAGCAUCAAUAUGGUGACUUCCCAGGAGUGGGGGACCACCAGGUUGCCUAAGGAGGUGUGAACCGGCCCAGGUUGGAAACGGAGCAGGUCAAAACUCCCGUGGUGAUCAGUAGUGGGAUCGUGCCUGUGAAUAGCCACUGCACUCCAGCCUGGGCAACAUAGGGAGACACCGUCUCU
rnacentral:SRP_RNA from 1 species